rnacentral:tRNA from 2 species
GGAGGAUUAGCUCAGUUGGGAGAGCAUCUGCCUUACAAGCAGAGGGUCGUAGGUUCGAGCCCUACAUUCUCCACCA